UACAGAGGUCUCAAGCGUUGUUCGGAUUCAUUGGGCGUAAAGGGUGCGUAGGUGGCGAGGUAAGUCGGAUGUGAAAUCUCAGGGCUCAACCCUGAAACUGCAUUCGAUACUGCCGUGCUUGAGGACUGGAGAGGAGACUGGAAUUUACGGUGUAGCGGUGAAAUGCGUAGAUAUCGUAAGGAAGACCAGUGGCGAAGGCGGGUCUCUGGACAGUUCCUGACGCUGAGGCACGAAGGCCAGGGGAGCAAACGGG
rnacentral:rRNA from 1 species